CAACCCAGAGCUAUUUGACCCUUCCCGUUUUGCACCAGGUUCUGAUCUACUCAGCCAUGCUUUCCUGCCCUUCUCAGGAGGAUCAGGGUGUUCACAGUCAAG